GGGUUCACUUUUGGGGGGUUUUCCACUGGAUACACCACAGAUACAGGCUCCUGGUACUUUUUUUAGUACCGCCUCGGUUGUGUCACAAUCAUGGACUUCUAUUCUCCUGUUUCUUUUGAGUUUUCCUUAUUUGGUCAUGUUCCUUUUCUUGUUUAGUUAAUUGAUUACUCCCCACCUGUUUCUGUUCUCCCUGAUUACGUUCCAUCAGUUUAUAAGCCCUGUCUGUUUUGCCUUUCUUUGUCGGUUCUUAAAGUAUCAUUGUGUUAAAUUAUGUAUGUGUUUGUUCUUUGCCCUUGUGAUCAUUAAAAACCAACUCCUUUUUGGAUUUUUGUCUGGCACCCUUCAUUUGGACACAUGCAUGUGUUACAGAAGAACCAACCUAAACCGAAGAAAAAUGAAGGCUGAAGAAGAGCUGAGGUGUUUGAGGCAGAGCGGUCGGUGGUUGGAGUGAUAUGUAGAGGAUGUCCUCGAUCUCACAAAUCGGGUGAGUUAUCAUGACUCGUUCCUGGGUGCUUGUUUUUUGCUGGACGAGGACACAAUCCGUUGCACUCUUCCUGGUGGUGAUAUUUUUUUUCCCCCUGAUCAAGCUUAUUAAUCUGGUCCUCUGGUUGAACAAUUCAGACUUCGAGGUGGAAGAAGUACGUAAUCAACCAAAUUUUCCACGUCCAGUCCCCUCAGGAACGAGCCCUGUUGCGCCGGCUCACCCAGAGCUGGGAACCUCUACAUACCGCUCCAUUGGCUCCUCCCGCCUACCCAAACCCAACCACCCCAGUAGCCUCCCGAACUCAGCCAUCUCCCUCAGCCCGCCAAUGCGGCAACCGGUGGCAAGUCAUAUGGCAAGCUAUAUAUAUAUAUAUAUAUAUAAAAAACCGCCCUCUCCUCCAGAUCACCCUCCAUCACCAGUCCCCAGCUUUAGUGUCCUGGACAUGGCAUUACCCCCAAGUUUCUCCACACUUAUCCUCUCCCCAGAUUUCCCUCUAGAGCACUUCCCUGAACCUCCUUCACCACCUAAGUCUCCGCUGGUUCCGCCCAGCCUUGAAUCUCCUGUGUCUCCACUGGUUCCGCCCAGCCUUGAAUCUCCUACGUCUCCAUUGGUUCCGUCCAUCCCUUCAUCUCCUGAGCACCCUGAGUUAAGCCCACGGCGGGCUCCCGGUCCCCAGUCGAGCCCGGGAGGGGCUCGCGGGGCCCAGUCAAGCCCAGGGAGGGCCCCUGAACCCCAGUCGAGCCCAGGGGGGGCCCUGAACCCCAGAGCUCGCUCCAGUGUCGGCUCUUGCCCCAGAGCUCGCUCCUGUGUCUGCUCCAGGCCCCAAGUCCAAGCGCUUAAGUUUUCCCAAGUAUUUUUUUUUUGGGGGUGGUGGGGGGUUAGUAGAGAUCCAGCCAUAGAGGCCGAGGCGGGGGUUGGAGCCGUGGCCUCGGAGCCAGAGCCGCCAUGGCCCCCCGAGUCUCCAGAGCCGCCAUGGCCCCCCGAGUCUCCAGAGCCGCCAGACCCGCCAUGGCUGCCCGAGUCUCCAGAUCCGCCCUGGAGGUCCUCCUCAACUCCACCCCUUUCCUGCCCUGCACCAACCUCCAGGUCGCCCACCCCCCUCCCCGGUGUUACGGCUCGGGACGAGCCUUCUGGGAGGGGGGAGUAAUGACACAAUCAUGGACUUCUAUUCUCCUGUUUCUUUUGAGUUUUCCUUAUUUGGUCAUGUUCCUUUUCUUGUUUAGUUAAUUGAUUACUCCCCACCUGUUUUUGUUCUCCCUGAUUACGUUCCAUCAGUUUAUAAGCCCUGUCUGUUUUGCCUUUGUCGGUUCUUAAAGGGGUCAUGAAAUGAGAAACCAAAUUUGCCUUGAUCUUUUGGAAUAUAAGAGGUCUUUGUACCAUUAAAACGUCCUGCAAGUUUCAUAGCUUAAGACGUCCUCCCCAUUAUAAACGAGCCAUUUAAUUAAUCAAGCUCUAAAUACAGCUUGUUCUGGAUCCAUGGUAAGAAGUGACGUCACGGUGCGAAGUGAGGUUCCAACCAUUUGCAUAUGACCGCCUCCAGCACAAGACAACUAUGCUCAUUUCGUAUCGUUGUCGCGCCGCGUGCCUCACAAGUGUUCAGUCGACGGACAGCGAGUGGGUCUGUGUACAGGAAAAUUACAAUGCCAUGCAGAUGUGCUCAAACAUAUAAGGUUUUAUCAUUGCAAGAGCCAUCGCUUCGAAUGCAUCACCCGCUACUAAACAGUUACGCUCAAUCCACAAAUGUUCUGGCUGGGGGUGUUAAUAAUUGAUCCAUAGGCACUGUCGUUAGCCAAUCAUAACAGUGGGCGUUAACACUGAACUCUUAAAGGGGAAACAACCCAAAAACAGAGUGUUUGAAUCAAAGGAUGAGAAACAGGGUGGGAAAAUGUCAUAAUUCACUACAUUUUAAAAGUUUUUUUUUUUUUUUUUAAACUAUAGUAAUACUAUAAUUGCACCUAGGGGACCAUAAUAAUAAAAUAAAAAAACCCAUGUCAUGACCCCUUUAAAGUAUCAUUGUGUUAUGUUUGUUUGUUCUUUGCCCUUGUGAUCAUUAAAAACCAACUCCUUUUUGGAUUUUCGUCUGGCACCUUUCAUUUGGAGACACGCACGUGUUAUAGGUUAAGGUUCCAAGUGAACCAUACCAUUACCAAAGUGUGAUGUGUAAGCUCUGCUGAUCACUGAUUGGCUGGAGAGAAUCGGCACUACCUGCGUCCCUGAACUUGCGACACAAGCACAAAAGAACCGCUAGAUUUAAAUCAGCACAGCCAGAGAAGGAUCGACCGUGUGUGUGUGAGCGCACUUUUUU
ensembl:lncRNA